CUCAGAAAAACAAGCAGUCUGCUGACAUGUGGUAGCCUGAUCCAAUCACAGUGCUUCCCCAUAAGAUUGGCUGAGACUGACAAAGAGGCAGAUCAGGGGCAGAGCCAGCAUGAAUCAAACACAGCCCUGGCCAAUCAGCAUCUCCUCAUAGAGAUGAACUGAAUCAAUGAAUCUCUGAGGAAAGUUCAGUGUCUGCAUGCAGAAGGAGGAGAUACCGAAUCACAGGAUGCUGUGCACAGUGCUGUCCUGUGCUCUACUGACAGCAGAUCUGAGUCAAUGGAGGCAUAUUAUGUCCCUCUGGUUCACUCUGAGUGACUGCAACUAGAGGUGUUCCUAGCUUUCAAUGUAAACACUGUGUUUUCUCAGAAAAUACAGUG